AAUGGAUGGUAUUUCUCCAAAAUUAUGUUAAGAUUACAAAAAAAAUAGCUGUGCUGCAUAAGAAGCUAUAAUAUCAAAUAAGGAACUCAAAAAUAAAAAUAUACGAUCAGUUACCAGAGCUACAUCAAAAAGGUUGACAAAUUGCAUGGUGAAAAGAAAACACAAAAAGAACAUGCACACUCUUGUAUAAGAUGCAAUUUUUUUUUUCAAAGAGCAUGUUACAUAGAAGGAAGCAUAGGGAAAUGAAGGACAGUUCUCUUUUAAUUGAUCACAGAAAAAAGAAA